rnacentral:rRNA from 1 species
UACAGAGGUCUCAAGCGUUGUUCGGAUUCAUUGGGCGUAAAGGGUGCGUAGGCGGCGCGGGUAAGUCCGGGUGUGAAAUCUCGGAGCUUAACUCCGAAACUGCAUUCGAUACUGCCGUGCUUGAGGACUGGAGAGGAGACUGGAAUUUACGGUGAGCGGUGAAAUGCGUAGAUAUCGUAAGGAAGACCAGUGGCGAAGGCGGGUCUCUGGACAGUUCCUGACGCUGAGGCACGAAGGUCAGGGGAGCAAACGGG